rnacentral:rRNA from 1 species
AACGAACGUUAGCGGUGUGGAUUAGGCAUGCAAGUCGAGCGUGAAAGUCUUCGGACGAGUAAAGCGGCGAAAGGGUGAGUAAUACGUAGUCAAUCUAUCCUCGAGACCGGGAUAACCACU